rnacentral:lncRNA from 1 species
GGUGCUGGGUGGCCUGGGUAUUUUUAGAAGGCCAGAGGCAAACAUGCCUGGAAUCCUGGGUGUUGCUGAGCCAAAGAAGCUGGGAGGCCAGCAGAGGGUGAACCAGAAGAGGUGGCCUCGGCCCGGGUCCUAACUUCACCAAGUAACACAAUGGCCACUGCCCUCCCAUCUCUACUGGAGUGCCUCCAGGAAGCUGAGAAAAGAGCAACUGAACCAGAGUGCCUGCGAAAGUCCUGAGACUUACUCUGAUCGGAUCAUCUUGGGUCACACGCCAUGCCUGACCCAAUCACUGUGGCUGAAGGAUGGAUGCACGGAUUGUUCAAGCCUAGGUCAUGUUUUCCCCGCUGGAGUUGGCUUCCCUGGAACCGGAGUGAUCCCAAAAGAAAUGUGAGAACUGCAGGGAAGACAGAAGGAGGAUGAAUGUGGGGGAAAUACUGAAUUGAGGAUUUACCCCAUUCUCUCACAUGAGAGCAUAAAGUUUCUGCCUCAGGAAGAGAGUGGGACUAAAACUAAAAUUUCAGGUGUUCUAUAAUUCUUAGAAUAAUAGCCACUGAUAUACUUAAAGACUGUGUUAAAUAAAUGGUUCAUACAGAGUAACAGGGCAGAAUUAAAAUCCUCCAGUAAGAAAAGGGAGCGAGGGAGAGAGAGGAGAUAGCAGAGAGUCCCUAAAGGGUGUCCAGGGCCUGACGACUGGGUGGGGCAUCAAGAUGGAAGGAGAACAGGGCUGAGCUGCUUCCGGAGAAAGCACAUGUCUGAUGGGAAUUUUGUGAGGUGAAAUUGUGAAAGUGAUAGUGAAGGAAGCCACUAAAAAAAGCCUUCUCUUCUAUUUCCCAUAG